AAUAUAGGUUGUGGCACUCUGUGGGUUACUGACGGAUUUGGAAACUUGUUUUUCCACAUUGCAUGCACAGACUGAAGUAUGUUGUGCACCUAUCCGCCGGUGCCUGGAAAAGCUUUUUGUCAGGAUCACUGCCAGUAUUUGGAGUCACAGGUACCACCAGUACCAACAGAUCUCAGGAGUUUUUUGAAGCACUGCAAAGUUCAAAAUGAAUUCUUCAGCAGUUGCACUGGGACUGGGCACAACAAUAUUAUGGAGGAGUAGUGGAUGAUGUUGAAUGCCUCCUAGGGCUGCACAGCUCUACUGUACUAUGAGUACCAGGACUUCAGUGAGCAAGGUGCAGGUGCAGGUGCAUGGACGAUGAACAGACUCACAUUGUUACCAAACAACCAUUCACUCGGAUCUAAGAAACAAAGGCAACAAAGUUUGCAGCUCUAAAGCAAGUACUCUUGGGAAAGAAAGUGGAGACAAUAAAAUGUAGUAACAUAAUGUUCAAGAGAUUAUCACGGAUAAAGGCACUAAGACAGGCUAAGGAGAAAUUACUGGAAGAAAACGCUCCUGCUGAGUCCAUCUAUAAUCUCAGCCACAAAGCAGGAGAAAGAGGUACAACGAAUACUCUGAGAAGAUUGUCUUGGUUACAAGAUGCCUGCAUUGUGCCGGUGAGUAUCAACGAUUAAGUUGCGUAUUAACUGUUUAAACACAGUUUCUAUAUAAUUAUAAUUAUGUUGACAGCAUUGUUUUUUGCGUAUACUGCCCCCAACAGCAUGACUGUCUUUGCAUGUUUGACACAAACCACAAUCUUCUUUUACAUUCAGAGCAUUCGUUGCACCUCUUUUUCUCCUCUUUUCUCCCUGUUUGAAUCAGAAAUCAGAAAGUACGUAUGUACAUUCAUAACGUGUAGUGAAAGAAAUCUGCUUUGUGGAUGAGACUAGAUGAAGCGUUUUAUUCCAUUAAUUUUUCCUAGCCUACAAAAUGUAUCAAAGAAUGCAUGUAUCAAGUAUUAUGUUUGAAAUGUGACGACAUAAUACAUGCAUGUCUUAGUGCCUUAUCAUGUCUCCGAGAGUAUCGUAUAUGUUACUACAUUUUGUUGUCUCCACUUCUCUGCAUAUCAAAACAUUGCAAUGUGAAAUGUCAAAUUAAAAUUGUUACCGCCCACUCAAUAAUUGUGAUGUUUUCGUGUCAUAACUUGUCAUAUUUGUCAUUUCCUCUUCAUAAUAAAUAAUAAAAGUACUGCAGUGUAAUUAGCAAACAAGGUAGCAUAGAUUCAAGUUAGCAUCUGUACCUUUCUUCUGCAGACCAAAUUAUACCUUAAUCUUGGUUUCUCACUCAAAAUACAAUGAAAAAGAUAAUAAACUAAGUCUGUAAUCAGUUAUCAGUGUCACUGUUCGGACUUUCAUCCAGUCCAUCAAGUCUACCAGCUAUUCUCUCCAUUCAUAAUUACUCUACUCAUCAUCAUAUCCAAUAUGUGUAUGUUAACUAUCUCUUGAUGGAUCGUCAGUGUCGGUAAAUCCCACCAGGAGAGAGUUUUUCAGGGGCUUUCUUCAGUUCCUGGGCACUGUCUUUGCUUUGCCUUGCUUGUCUUGGAAACUUGACAUCAGCUCUAUGUUACAGUAGUAUACCUUGGCUGUUACUUGGGCUGAUCUGUCAUCCUCAGUAGGUAUACAGUAGUCUAGCUGGCACAAUAAACUUUAGCUAGCUCUACUUACAUGCACUUAUGCAAAAUUAACGCUGCUUAAUUAAACAGAUUGUUCUAAGUUUCUGAGCUAUCACUUACGUUUUGUGUUCACCUAGUAGAUAUAUAUCUAGAUAUAUCUAUACUCAUUUAUUUACUCAUUUAUACAACAACAGUUCAAUGUUCACUUUGUAGUAAA